rnacentral:rRNA from 1 species
CAGUCGCCGCGGUAAUACGUAGGUGGCAAGCGUUGUCCGGAAUUAUUGGGCGUAAAGGGCUCGCAGGCGGUUUCUUAAGUCUGAUGUGAAAGCCCCCGGCUCAACCGGGGAGGGUCAUUGGAAACUGGGAAACUUGAGUGCAGAAGAGGAGGGUGGAGUUCCACGUGUAGCGGUGAAAUGCGUAGAGAUAUGGAGGAACACCAGUGGCGAAAGCGACUCUCUGGUCUGUAACUGACGCUGAGGAGCGAAAGCGUGGGGAGCGAACAGGAUUAGAUACCCCAGUAGUCCCUGUCUCUUAUAC